rnacentral:lncRNA from 1 species
CCAGAUUCCAUGACGUGCUUUUUGCCUCACACGGGAAAGCAGGGCAGUCAGGUGCAAGGAGGAAUCUAAGUGUUCCAGAACCAGCAUCCAGAGGGCUUCAUUCUCCAGAAGCUGUCAUUUUGCAUAAACCUCUCACCAGGCACAUCCAUUCUCACAGCCAAAAUCUCCAUAUCAAACACUGCAUCCACCAUGGAACUGACAGCCCUCCCUACCCUGCAUGGGGCCUCAGAGAGGCUGGCAUGACAGACACCCCGUGCAGGGGCGACGCAGGACAGACUGAGUGGGUGACCCGGGAAUGCCGCCAGUCCGUCCUUACCACCUUCCUCAGGCCUCCUGGGGGGAUCCUUGCUCCUUCCUGACGUCUCUGAUGGGUGUGCGUGGCCUGCAUGCCCUCAGUGGGGGGCACACAGGAGCCUGGGAGUGGAGGGGAAGACCUAUGUCCCUCCAAAAAAAUACAUUGACAUCCUAACCAGCAGUACCUCAGAAUGUAAUCUUAUUUGGAAAUAGAGUCUUUGCAGGGUAAUUAGGUUAAAAUCAGGUCAUUAGUGUGGUCCUGAUCCGAUAGGACUGGCAUUCUUACAAAAAGGGAUAGCUGGGAGACAACACGCUCAGAGGGAAGACCCGCCGUGUGCCUGAAGGCAUGCGUCUGCCCAAGAAGGGCCACCAAGGACAGUUAGCAACUACGUGAAACCAGGACGGAGGAGCAAACCACGUGAAACUGGGACAGGACAGACCCUCGGAAGGAGCCAACCUCGCCUGCGCCCUCCUCACCCCCAGACUGCGAAGGAUCGAUUUUGGCUGCC